GGUUGGUCCAAGUACAGUGGUGUUUACAACUAAUUGAUCACAAUCAGUUACAGAUUCCUUUGUUCCUUCUCCAGUCCCACUGCUUCGCUUGACCAGCCUUUG
rnacentral:Y_RNA from 1 species